CGGGGAGUGGCGCAGUCUGGUAGCGCAUUCGACUGGGGGUCGAAAGGUCGGAGGUUCAAAUCCUCUCUCCCCGACCA
rnacentral:tRNA from 1 species